UACAGAGGGCUCGAGCGUUGUUCGGAUUCAUUGGGCGUAAAGGGUGCGUAGGUGGCUCUGUAAGUCGGGUGUGAAAUCCUGGGGCUUAACCCCGGAACUGCAUUCGAUACUGCAGUGCUUGAGGACUGGAGAGGAGACUGGAAUUCAUGGUGUAGCAGUGAAAUGCGUAGAGAUCAUGAGGAAGACCAGUGGCGAAGGCGGGUCUCUGGACAGUUCCUGACACUGAGGCACGAAGGCCAGGGGAGCAAACGGG
rnacentral:rRNA from 1 species